rnacentral:lncRNA from 1 species
CUAUAACUCAACCAUUUCACUUAACAAUACGAUCCCAUAAAACACUUUUACUUUCAAGAUUAAGCACUUGACAGAUUUGUGGAGAAAAUUUAGUCCAAUAGAGUGAUCGAAUUUUUUUUUUUCUCGCCUUCCGUCAAGGCCUUGCUGUCUCACCCAUGUAGCUUAAUUCACUUACUGGAUGAAUAAAACGGGUAGCGCGUUAUUUUUUUCUCAAAAAAAAUAAUAUAAUCCCACACACCGACCGUCCCUAGAGCAAGUGACAAAGGACUUGGUGAUUAAUAUCCGAGACCCAAAUUCGAACCCUAGUUGAUUCGCAUUUCUAGCUAAGUUUAUUUCUAAAUAAAAUAAAUAAACCGGGUAGCGCACUACCUAUCUCUAAAAAAAAAAACCGAUAUGAUCCCACACUAACGUUGUAAAACG